ensembl:lncRNA
GAGAAAAACAGGAAGUGGAGCCUGAGAGCAAAGGCUGCAGCAGCCCUACCCGGGGCGGGGAGUGUGGCAGCCCCCUCCCCCCCGCAGCCUUACGGGAAAGUGGUCAGGGGGCAGCCCCAGCCUGAGCAGGGGGCAGGGGGUUGGGGGAGAGGAGAACCCAGUAUGGACCCUUUAACCACGAGGAGGUUUAUUUUUAGAUCAAACCUCACCCUUGGCUCUGGCAUUUCACAUCUUCUCUCACCUGCUCACAUCACCUCCUCAAGGUUGGCACCAUUACCCCCAUUUUCCCGGUAAGCGAAGAAACCCAGAGAAGUUAAGCGACUUGGCCGAGGCCACACAGCUUUUCCCACGGCUGGGUCACGGCUCCUUGAUUCUUUCUCAGACUUUGAUUUCUAUUUGUGGUGUGUUUUUGUUCCGGGCCUGUGAGCACGCAGGGGGUGAGGGGAGGCAGGGGAGGCGGGACGGUGCAGGGGGAGGGGGCUUUCUCUGGCUUCUGCCUCUGGCACAUCCGAGCUAGCUAGCCGAGCUAGCCGCAAGACAGGCAGCACGGCCAGCCUCCGAGAGCCCAUCCCUAGAGGUCCUGGUUCCUGGAAUGCGUGAGCAGGAAGGGCCAGGAGGAGGGGAGAGGGAGCCAGGGAGGGGAAGGCAGCCAGAUGACAGCCGAGGAGGAAGGGUGCCCUCCCCCCAAAUACAGAAGCAAGUAUCUAUGACCCCAGCUGGCCAACGACCAUCCCAAGGACUCAGAAAUUCAGGAAAAGCCUUAAGUACAGAAGAGAGAUUCCUAAAAGACGUUGACCACCGUCCCAGCUAUAAAAGCGGGGAGAACUAACCAGCCUCCGGGAUGCGCACCUGCUCGUGUUCACGGGAAGGCAGCCUUUAAGAGGGAUGAGGACGCACACCUGAUGUGGAAAUAGGUCCAGGAGGUGAGAAACAGAGCGACAAAACGUUGUGGACAGAAAAAUCCCAUGCGUAGAAAAAAAAAGAGUAAACAUCAAUAUUUUCAUGGCA